UGCAGCCUCGACCUCUCGGGCUCAGAUCAUCCUGUCACCUCUGCUUCUCAAGUAGCUGAGACUACAGGCUUGCGUUGCCAAGCCCGGAUAACUUUUUGUAUUUGUUUUUUUUCUUUUAUUGUAGAGACGCGGUUUUGCCAUGUUGGCUAGGCUGGUUUCAGACUCCUGAGCUCAGUGAUCCGCCUUUCUUGGCUUUCCAAAAGGCUGGGAUUACAUGUCCUCAUAAGAAGGGAAAAUUUGGACAG
rnacentral:lncRNA from 1 species